UAGUUUGAUCCUGGCUCAGAAUGAACGUUGGCGGCGUGGAUUAGGCAUGCAAGUCGAGCGAGAACCCCGCAAGGGGGGACAGCGGCGAAAGGGACAGUAAUGUGUAGAUAUCUACCCUUAGGCUCGGGAUAGCUGCGGGAAACUGCAGGUAAUACCGAAUAACAUCUCCGGAUCAAAGGUGUGAUUCCGCCUAGGGAUGAGUCUGCAUCCUAUUAGCUAGUUGGUAGGGUAAUGGCCUACCAAGGCAUUGAUGGGUAGCGGGUGUGAGAGCACGACCCGCGUCACUGGGACUGAGACACUGCCCAGACACCUACGGGUGGCUGCAGUCGAGAAUCUUCGGCAAUGGACGCAAGUCUGGCCGAGCGACGCCGCGUGUGGGAUGAAGGCCUUCGGGUUGUAAACCACUGUCAGAGGGGAGGAAAUGCAGGUGGGUUCUCCCAUCGGUUUGACCUAUCCUCAGAGGAAGUACGGGCUAAGUUCGUGCCAGCAGCCGCGGUAAGACGAACCGUACGAACGUUAUUCGGAAUCACUGGGCUUAAAGGGUGCGUAGGCGGCGCGGAAAGUAGGGUGUGAAAUCCCUCGGCUCAACCGAGGAACUGCGCCCUAAACUACCGUGCUCGAGGGAGAUAGAGGUGAGCGGAACUUAGGGUGGCAGCGUGAAAUGCGUUGAUAUCCUAAGGAACACCGGUGGCGAAAGCGGCUCACUGGAUCUCUUCUG
rnacentral:rRNA from 1 species